UACGGAGUCCACCAGGACGAACAGAAAUUCAUACAGCAAGGCAGAGUGUGGAAAGCAGUAAAGAUCUACAAAAUGACGGACGGAGGAUUGAUCUGAGGACGAAGUCAUGAAGCCGACUCCACAGAAUGGGAGUCCCAUUUGUGUCAAUCAGACUCUUCAGGAACGUUCUGAUGUCCAUGAUGAGGACAGAGAUGCAACUGUGUCUGCAUCCAGGACCUACAGCCAGUCAUCCAGAUGUAGCUAAAGAAAGAAGCAGCUGAUGGAUGAAGGCAGAGGAGGUGGCAUUCUAGGAGGAUGGCAGCUAUGAGGCAGUGUCAGGAUGGACCCCAAGUUCCUCCAACCAGGAGCUCAGUGACAUCAGGACUACAUUACAAGAAGAGACGUCAAGUCCAUGCUACAGGAGAGAUGUUGGGCCUGUCCUGAACGCAGCAUAAUGUUUGAUCAUGUUUGGACAAAAAAACACUGCCAGAUGGUCCAGAAAUGGACAAGCAUUUAUGUCUUAUUUUGUGUGCAAACAGU